AGUGAACGCUGGCGAUAGGCCUAACACAUGCAAGUCGAACGGCAGCACAGUAAGAGCUUGCUCUUACGGGUGGCGAGUGGCGGACGGGUGAGGCAUACAUCGGAAUCUACUUUUUCGUGGGGGAUAACGUAGGGAAACUUACGCUAAUACCGCAUACGACCUACGGGUGAAAGCAGGGGAUCUUCGGACCUUGCGCGAUUGAAUGAGCCGAUGUCGGAUUAGCUAGUUGGCGGGGUAAAGGCCCACCAAGGCGACGAUCCGUAGCUGGUCUGAGAGGAUGAUCGGCCACACUGGAACUGAGACACGGUCCAGACUCCUACGGGAGGCAGCAGUGGGGAAUAUUGGACAAUGGGCGCAAGCCUGAUCCAGCCAUACCGCGUGGGUGAAGAAGGCCUUCGGGUUGUAAAGCCCUUUUGUUGGGAAAGAAAAGCAGCAGGUUAAUACCCCGCUGUUCUGACGGUACCCAAAGAAUAAGCACCGGCUAACUUCGUG
rnacentral:rRNA from 1 species